GCUGGGUGCAGUGGCACACGCCUGUAAUCCUGGUGGCUCAGGAGGCUGAGGCAGGAGGAUUGCAAAGUUCAAAGCCAACCUCAGCAACUAAGCAAGACCCUGUCUCAA
rnacentral:sRNA from 1 species